AGUCCAUGUUCUGGUUUGUGUGGUUUCUGCCAACACAUUAAGUUUGAUGCCUCCUGAAACCAUGACAAAGAUGAGGGAAGUCCGACUUGCAGCUCGUGAUCUAGGGAUUCCCCAACUGGCUGUUCUCACCCAAAUUGAUGAAGCGUGUUCAGAAGUCAAGAAAGACAUAAAGAACGUGUAUAAGAGCACAUAUGUGAAGACACAG